GGAGGUGCUACAGCUCAGUAGUACAGAAUCUGCUUUUGCAUGCAGAAGAUUCCAGGUUAAAUUCCUGGCAUCUCCA